AUGAACGCUAGCUACAGGCUUAACACAUGCAAGUCGAGGGGCAUCAGUUUGGUUUGCUUGCAAACCAAAGCUGGCGACCGGCGCACGGGUGAGUAACACGUAUCCAACCUGCCUCAUACUCGGGGAUAGCCUUUCGAAAGAAAGAUUAAUAUCCGAUAGCAUAUAUUUCCCGCAUGGGUUUUAUAUUAAAGAAAUUCGGUAUGAGAUGGGGAUGCGUUCCAUUAGUUUGUUGGGGGGGUAACGGCCCACCAAGACUACGAUGGAUAGGGGUUCUGAGAGGAAGGUCCCCCACAUUGGAACUGAGACACGGUCCAAACUCCUACGGGAGGCAGCAGUGAGGAAUAUUGGUCAAUGGACGCGAGUCUGAACCAGCCAAGUAGCGUGAAGGAUGACUGCCCUAUGGGUUGUAAACUUCUUUUAUAUGGGAAUAAAGUGGUCCACGUGUGGACUUUUGUAUGUACCAUAUGAAUAAGGAUCGGCUAACUCCGUGCCAGCAGCCGCGGUAAUACGGAGGAUCCGAGCGUUAUCCGGAUUUAUUGGGUUUAAAGGGAGCGUAGGCGGAUUGUUAAGUCAGUUGUGAAAGUUUGCGGCUCAACCGUAAAAUUGCAGUUGAUACUGGCAGUCUUGAGUGCAGUAGAGGUGGGCGGAAUUCGUGGUGUAGCGGUGAAAUGCUUAGAUAUCACGAAGAACUCCGAUUGCGAAGGCAGCUCACUGGAGUGUAACUGACGCUGAUGCUCGAAAGUGUGGGUAUCAAACAGGAUUAGAUACCCUGGUAGUCCACACAGUAAACGAUGAAUACUCGCUGUUUGCGAUAUACAGUAAGCGGCCA
rnacentral:rRNA from 1 species